GACGUAGGUGGCAAGCGUUGUCCGGAGUUAUUGGGCGUAAAGCGCGCGCAGGCGGUUCGACAAGUCCAUGGUGAAAGCGCUCGGCUUAACUGAGCGAGUGCCGUGGGGACUGUCGAGCUGGAGGGGAGCAGAGGCGAGUGGAAUUCCGGGUGUAGUGGUGAAAUGCGUAGAGAUCCGGAGGAACACCAGUGGCGAAGGCGGCUCGCUGGGCCACUACUGACGCUGAGAAGCGAAAGCAUGGGGAGCGAACAGG
rnacentral:rRNA from 1 species